GCCAGUGUGGCGUAGUGGUUUGAGCAUUGGAUUAUGACUUUGGAGACUGGGGUUCAAUUCACUGCUUGGCCA